AACCAAGAAAUUUAGUCAUUCUUUUAUGGUAAAAAGACAGUUAUGCCAAAUGAUAUAAUCAUUAGAUCUUCAGUAAAGGAGUAAAAUCUAUAUACUGAAAGUUAUACUAGUUGUGAUGUGCUUAAGAUGCUGAAUCUGUGAUAGCUUUAAGGGAAACUGGGAUUGGAUACCCCAUUAUUUUUAGCCGUAAAUUCAGUGAACUUACCAGAGUACUACGAAUAAAAAAUUUAAAACUCAAAGGGCUUGGCGGUGUUUUAGACCUCUCAGGGGAACCUGUCUCGUAAUCGACAAUCCACGUUAAACCUAACCCUUUAUGGUAAUACAGUUUGUAUACCGUCGUCGUCAGGUAACUUCUUAAAAUAUAGUAGUUAGCUCGAGAAUUCCAUUAAUUAGAACGUCAGAUCAAGGUGCAGCCAAUAAAAGGGUGAGGAUGGGUUACAAUUAUAUAUUUAUAAUUACGGAAAAACACUUGAAAUCGAGUGCUUAAAGGAGGACUUGAAAGUAAUUUUAAUUAUAUAAAUAAAAUGAAUUAGGCUCUGAAACGUG
rnacentral:rRNA from 1 species